rnacentral:tRNA from 1 species
CAGGGCGGCGGCGAGGGUGGUCGCGGGGACCUCACGGGUCUCCCCCGCCGGGUGGGCGCCGGCCCGCUCGGGC